rnacentral:lncRNA from 1 species
CAGGGAACUGCAGCCCGAGGUGUGAGCGGGAGGUACUCCCGGCGCUGGGUACGCUCCGGGCACCUCCACCCCCAGUCUCCACCGAGCGGGCUCUCGGCCUCGCGCCUCUGGCCAGGCCAGGGGCUGCCCAAGGCCAGGCUCUACCUCUCCCUUGCGUUCUUUGUCCCCACUCAGCCCGCUCCCGCUCUCAGCCAGAAGCUGCGCUGGGCACUCGGGAGAAAGCCGGGACAAUUCUGGGGUCCAGUCUUCCCGGACUCCCUCCUCCACGCCAGCGACCGGGUGGCAGCUAUAGGGAACCAGGCUUCGGAAGUCUUGCCAACCAGACAAAACAGACCCGAGGAAGCCCCCCUCCUCCCGCUUUCCGCGAGCCCCGGUUUGCUUUCCGCACCGUUUGCUGGGCGCCAGCAGCCAGACUCUCGGCUGGGAUCUGAAGUGCUGGAGGCACCCUGUCGGGGAGGAGAGAUGCCGCCAAUGUGUGUGAUGGGAUUCCCAGUGGUUACCCUAAUGCACCUGGAGGACCUGCAAGCGCAGUCCACUCACUCAGCUUACAAUGUAG